rnacentral:rRNA from 1 species
UUUCCUACGGGAGGCAGCAGUAGGGAAUUUUCGUCAAUGGGCGCAAGCCUGAACGAGCGAUGCCGCGUGAGUGAAGAAGGCCUUCGGGUCGUAAAGCUCUGUUGCGGGGGAAAAAAGGCAGCAUCAGGAAAUGGGUGCUGACUGAUGGUGCCCCGCCAGAAAGUCACGGCUAACUACGUGCCAGCAGCCGCGGUAAUACGUAGGUGGCGAGCGUUAUCCGGAAUGAUUGGGCGAAAGGGGUGCGCAGGCGGUCCUGCAAGGUUG